CUCUCUCUGUCUCUCUUUGCCAGACGAGGCCGCCAUUGCUGGGUACAAGUGGCCCACUUCAAGCAAGGAGUAGCAAAUCAUGGAGGAAGCCGCGGGUCGAGUGGAAUGGACACAGAGGCUCCCAGCGCCGGACAGAAGCCGAAAACAAUCUCCAAGCAAGAAUCAGCCUCAAUAAAUGACUAAAUCAA